rnacentral:rRNA from 1 species
CCUACGGGGGGCAGCAGUGGGGAAUAUUGGGCAAUGGGCGCAAGCCUGACCCAGCAACGCCGCGGGAAGGAAGAAGGCUUUCGGGUUGUAAACUUCUUUUGUCAGGGACGAAGCAAGUGACGGUACCUGACGAAUAAGCCACAGCUAACUACGUGCCAGCAGCCGCGGUAAUACGUAGGUGGCAAGCGUUAUCCGGAUUUACUGGGUGUAAGGGGCGUGUAGGCGGGACUGCAAGUCAGAUGGGAAAACCACGGGCUCAACCUGUGGCCCGCCGUUGAAACUGUCGGUCUUGAGUACUGGAGAGGCAGGCGGAAUGCGCAGUGUAGCGGUGAAAUGCGUAGAUAUUAGGAGGAACACCAGUGGCGAAGGCAGUAUGCUGG